UGGGGAAUCUUCCGCAAUGGACGAAAGUCUGACGGAGCAACGCCGCGUGAGUGAUGACGGUCUUCGGAUUGUAAAGCUCUGUUAAUCGGGACGAAUGGUUUGUGUGCAAAUAGUGCAUAGACAUGACGGUACCGGAAUAGAAAGCCACGGCUAACUACGUGCCAGCAGCCGCGGUAAUACGUAGGUGGCAAGCGUUGUCCGGAAUUAUUGGGCGUAAAGCGAGCGCAGGCGGUCAAUUAAGUCUGAUGUGAAAGCCCCCGGCUCAACCGGGGAGGGUCAUUGGAGACUGGUUGACUUGAGUGCAGAAGAGGAGAGUGGAAUUCCAUGUGUAGCGGUGAAAUGCGUAGAUAUAUGGAGGAACACCAGUGGCGAAGGCGACUCUCUGGUCUGUAACUGACGCUGAGGCUCGAAAGCGUGGGUAGCAAACAGG
rnacentral:rRNA from 1 species